rnacentral:lncRNA from 1 species
CGGUGUUGGAACUUCGUUGCUUGCUUGCCUGUGCGCGCGUGCGCGGACAUGGCCUCAAACGAUUAUACCCAACAAGCAACCCAAAGCUAUGGGGCCUACCCCACCCAGCCCGGGCAGGGCUAUUCCCAGCAGAGCAGUCAGCCCUACGGACAGCAGAGUUACAGUGGUUAUAGCCAGUCCACGGACACUUCAGGCUAUGGCCAGAGCAGCUAUUCUUCUUAUGGCCAGAGCCAGAACACAGGCUAUGGAACUCAGUCAACUCCCCAGGGAUAUGGCUCGACUGGCGGCUAUGGCAGUAGCCAGAGCUCCCAAUCGUCUUACGGGCAGCAGUCCUCCUACCCUGGCUAUGGCCAGCAGCCAGCUCCCAGCAGCACCUCGGGAAGUUACGGUAGCAGUUCUCAGAGCAGCAGCUAUGGGCAGCCCCAGAGUGGGAGCUACAGCCAGCAGCCUAGCUAUGGUGGACAGCAGCAAAGCUAUGGACAGCAGCAAAGCUAUAAUCCCCCUCAGGGCUAUGGACAGCAGAACCAGUACAACAGCAGCAGUGGUGGUGGAGGUGGAGGUGGAGGUGGAGGUAACUAUGGCCAAGAUCAAUCCUCCAUGAGUAGUGGUGGUGGCAGUGGUGGCGGUUAUGGCAAUCAAGACCAGAGUGGUGGAGGUGGCAGCGGUGGCUAUGGACAGCAGGACCGUGGAGGCCGCGGCAGGGGUGGCAGUGGUGGCGGCGGCGGCGGCGGCGGUGGUGGUUACAACCGCAGCAGUGGUGGCUAUGAACCCAGAGGUCGUGGAGGUGGCCGUGGAGGCAGAGGUGGCAUGGGGUAGGUGUCUCAUGAGCCAGGGAGUAUCUUUGGUGGGGAGUGUGGAGGAUUGCAUGAAUCUCCCUGAAGCCAGUCCCUAGUGCAUGGUUUAGUAUUCUUGUUGUCUAGGGAUCUGUGAGGGCUUUGAUUUGGGGGCAGUGACUUUCUUUUUACAUCCCCAUUUUAUUUUUGUGAGAACUUGGGAGCCUGAACUCCCAUCCAUACCACUGAAUAGAGAUUUUGAGUAAUGAUACUUGUUUCC